AUUGAACGCUGGCGGCAUGCUUUACACAUGCAAGUCGAACGGUAACAGGCCUUCGGGUGCUGACGAGUGGCGAACGGGUGAGUAAUGUAUCGGAACGUACCCAGAGGUGGGGGAUAACGCAGCGAAAGCUGUGCUAAUACCGCAUGUGAUCUGAGGAUGAAAGCGGGGGACCGAGCAGCAAUGUUUGGCCUCGCGCCUUUGGAGCGGCCGAUGUCGGAUUAGCUAGUUGGUGGGGUAAAGGCCUACCAAGGCGACGAUCCGUAGCUGGUCUGAGAGGACGACCAGCCGCACUGGGACUGAGACACGGCCCAGACUCCUACGGGAGGCAGCAGUGGGGAAUUUUGGACAAUGGGCGCAAGCCUGAUCCAGCAAUGCCGCGUGCGGGAAGAAGGCCUUCGGGUUGUAAACCGCUUUUGGCAGGAACGAAACGGUGUCCGCUAAUACCGGGCGCUAAUGACGGUACCUGCAGAAUAAGCACCGGCUAACUACGUG
rnacentral:rRNA from 1 species